UGGGGAAUUUUCCGCAAUGGGCGCAAGCCUGACGGAGCAAUACCGCGUGAGGGAGGACGGCUUUUGGGUUGUAAACCUCUUUUAUUGGGGAAGAAGGUCUGACGGUACCCAAUGAAUCAGCAUCGGCUAACUCCGUGCCAGCAGCCGCGGUAAUACGGAGGAUGCAAGCGUUAUCCGGAAUUAUUGGGCGUAAAGGGUCCGCAGGUGGCUUAUCAAGUCUGCUGUCAAAGCGUGGAGCUUAACUCCAUACCGGCAGUGGAAACUGAUGAGCUAGAGUUUGGUAGGGGUUGCGGGAAUUCCCAGUGUAGCGGUGAAAUGCGUAGAUAUUGGGAAGAACACCGGUGGCGAAAGCGCGCGACUGGACCGAGACUGACACUGAGGGACGAAAGCUAGGGGAGCG
rnacentral:rRNA from 1 species